rnacentral:rRNA from 1 species
CUUUACUGCAGCUUGGCAGUGGCGCCAGGAAGGGACUGUGUAGGAUAGGUGGGAGGCUUUGAAGCCGGGGCGCCAGCCUUGGUGGAGCCAACCUUGAAAUACCACCCUGUGCCUUUCUGGCGUCUAACCGAACCCCGUUAUCCGGGGUCGGGACCCUGCCUGGUGGGCAGUUUGACUGGGGCGGUCGCCUCCCAAAGAGUAACGGAGGCGCGCGAUGGUGGGCUCAAGCCGGUCGGACAUCGGCUGUUGAGUGCAAAGGCACAAGCCCGCCUGACUGCGAGCGCGACAGCGCGAGCAGGGACGAAAGUCGGCCUUAGUGAUCCGGUGGUCCCGCGUGGAAGGGCCAUCGCUCAACGGAUAAAAGGUA